rnacentral:lncRNA from 1 species
AGAAUUCCUUGCUUUAGGAUGUCAUAUAAGUUAAAUAUAUUCUUUUGUUAAUGGUUUUCUUCAUUUUUUUAUUUUUACUUAUUUUUGAGACAGGCUUUUGCUAUUGAACCCAGAUUGGCCUUAACCUCAUGUUCUUUCUGCCUCAGUUUCCCAAGGGCUAUGAUUAUAGACAUGUACCACCACAUCAGACAUAAUCUGGCUUCUUUCACAUAACCUGAGUAUAUAUGAGACAAAUUCAUGUUGGUUGCAUCAAUAGUAACUCGUUGUUUUUAUAACUGUGACCUUGUCCUCAUAAUUUUUCUGACAGUAAAGUUUUGUUCAUCUUAUCUUCACAGAUUUCUGAGAGUUGAAAAUUUUUCCCAGUAUAGUACUUUGUAAAGCAUGAAAUACUUUUAACCAGACAUAUAGAAAAAUAGUAUGUUGUUCUGUGCAAAGGCCCUGACACAUACUACUCCAGGAAUGAUACUAGACAUCAAUUUUUAAAUAUUUCUAUAACCUGUAGUCACAUUUUGACUGGUUGCUAAAGAUUUAAAGUAAGCAUAUUUUUUGGUACAGAUAUAUAUGUUUAUAAAAUAUGUUUUAAUUUCUUAGGAUUAUGUACUGAAGGACUAUACCGUGUUAGUGGAAAUAAAACUGAUCAAGACAACAUUCAAAAGCAGUUUGAUCAAGGUAAUAUAAUUGCAAAAUAAAAUUAUUGUCUUAUAGUUUUCUGUGUUAGAAUUUUACAGUAGGAAAGUUGUUUUUAUUUAAAACUUAACAGAAAUGGAUAUGGAGAGGAAAGCAUUUAAAAAUGUGAUUAGAAAUAUUAAAUAUAUAAUAAUUGCCACAAUAAGAUAUAUAAAAAGACUGGGAAAGGUCUGUCUUAGCUCUAACAAGAAAAUACUGAGCCUGCCGUGGUUGGUGCAUAACUUUAUUCCCAGCACUGAGGAGACAGAGGCAGGAGGAUCUCUGUGAGUUGCAUGACAACUAAGGCUGCAUGGUGAAAUAUUGUAUUUUAAAAAGGGAGGGAAAGGGGGAAAAAUAAAAUAUUGAUUCUUUUAGUCUUUUUAGGUAGGUUGAUAUUUUAGGCAAUUAUAAGAGAAAGUGGGAAAUAUCAAACUUAAUACAUUUAGAAUAAAUGAUUUGAGACAAUUGAAACAGUUGGAUAAGAAAAGUAUUAUAUUUUGAUGUGGGAAGGCUAGAAGACAAGAAAGAACUUAUUGAAAAGAGGAUACUUGGAAUUGAAACAGUCUGUUAUAGGUAAUAAAUUUAUAGGUCUUGUUUAGAAAUAUGAAUCUUUUUCAUUAUGCUAAGACUACAGGGAUUCAGGUAAAGCAAAUAUUUUGAGGUAAGCUAUGAUAUAAUAUGGUCUAGCUAUUAUAUAAUAUGGUCUGUGUACUGUUUCUUGCCCUACUUUAUAUUUUUAAUCCAAUAAGCUACCUUAAAACAGUAACAGAAUCUUUAAAGAUAGGGCCAGAAUUAGAAAGGCAGUAAAUUUACAUAUGUUGCAUUUGUAACUAUUGUAUAAAAAAGCAAUACUAUAUAAAAGUGCUUUUUUAAUGUAACAGACAACUAUUCGAGCAAAUUCGUAAGUGAGUCCCUGACUAGUAAGGAACUCCAUGUGUGAUCAAAGAUAAAACUAAAAUAUGAAAAUUAUUAGGGGUAAGUAAGUGAAUAUUUUUGUAGUCUUUGACUGGAAUAGGCUUAAAUUUGGUAAGGAACCUAGGAAUCAUAAAUGAAUAUCAAUUAAGGCUACUAAAAAUGUAGAAAUUCUCCAUGAGCAUAUAAAAAACAAAAUCUCCAAGAAAGUAUGGACUUACAUACAAAUUAAACUAUUAGUAUAUAUUUGAAAAUACAUGCAGCCCCUAACAUUGACAAAUUUUUAUUUUAAAAUUGUAUUUAUUAUCAGUGAUUAAGAGUGUUGGUAAUGUAGGCAAAUACAUUUUGUAUACCUGUUGUGGGUACAUUUUGAGAGGUAGUUUGUCAAUGUUAAAAUUCAAAUUCCUUUGUUUAGGAAAUUCUACCUCAAAGAAUUUGCAUUUUCAUUCCAAAAGCUUUGCAUGAGCUUGUUAAAGGCAUUUGUUACACUAUUUAUAAUUUUAAAGAGAGAAGGGGAACCACCCAUGUGUCUAUGAAUGUUGAAUAUUGUGAUGAGGUUAAAGUGGCAAAACAUCGCUUAUGGACUGGUAUAUACGUGUGUAAAAAAGUAUGCUCUGUUGCCAAAAGUACUCUCUAUUUUUAAGAAAUAUUAGACAAACUGGAUUUUAUAGUGUCCAGUUGAUACAAUUCCCCUUUGAGUGAAAAGGACAGAGUAAUAUUUGGGGCUCUUGAAUUCAAUUUAGUGGUUUUAUUUCUUAAUCUUGCCACUUACUGUCUGCCUCAGGCAGGUUCAUCUUUCUAGAUCUCAUUUUUUUUCAUCACAGAGUGGCAAUGAAAGAAUAAAUACAAGGCUGAUGAGAUAAUGCUUGACCAGUAAGAUGUGUAAAUCGGUCAUGUUUUCUUUAAGUGAUCAUUAAAAAAGC